CGCCACCCAGGCGCCCCUUAAACAAAACAUUUUAAAAACACAGAAAACUAAUAAAGCAAAUUCCCAUGUGCCCCUUCCCCAAGAAUAAACAGUUAAUGUUUUGUUUCAGAAUUUUGUUUGUUUAUAGAAAAAUAGAUCCGGUUAUAUAGAGGACUCCUUUUCCUCCUGAAACCCCGCUAAAGAAAUAGCAGGGGAAUUAUAAGAAGUUAAAAUCCACAAGGACACAAAGAACAGAAAAAGGAGGGAAUGGGAGAUGAGCGACAAAAGUCUGGAAGAUGAACAGCACGUAAGUCAUGACUGCGGAGAAAAGAGGAAGUGGAAACAUGAAUCUUCAAAAAGAGACCAGCGGACUCAACCACAGGACCUUGGAGCGGCUCAGGAUUCAUUGGUACCACGUCCUUCCAAAGAUGAGGAAACCAAGCCGUUCGUCCGAGCUCUCACAGCCAACAAGAGAAAGGAUCCAAACCACGCCAUGUGUGGUUCUGAGGAGGCAAAUAUUAUCCUGCCCAUUUUACAGAUGAGAAAACUGAGGUCUCAAGACUGAAGUGACUUGCCUGGCUCACGCAGGAAGUGGCUUAGCCAGAAUUCCAGCCCAGGUUUGUCUGACCUCCAAGUCCAUGCUCUUGACAUCACCUGCUCCCACCUCCCCCUCUGGGAGUGGUGGGCCUUGGUUUACAAAGGAUGAGAGAGAAGAAACCAGAGAAGGCGCUGAGCAGAGGUAGAGGCCCCUUCCAAAGCCCCAUGCCUAAUUUUGUUUUUUGUAAUUGCGUUUUCUCUACCUUUUUUAUCUUUAGUUUAUUUAUUUUGAGAGAGAGAGAGAGAGAGAC